CUGCUUGAGCCAUAUAGCAGUUGUCAUUGAGCCAACCAUAUUUAUUGUUCUCAAGGCUACCACUUCUUUGCUUCAAUCCAACUGAUAUUCAAAGCUGCAAAUGUUCUUCAAUUGGUGCAGCUUCCUAUAUUAAGAAGCAUGUUAUAUAAAUAUUAAGUUUCUCUGAAAAAAAUGCCUAGCCAAGAAAUGAGGUAAGAAACAUAACUUACUCCUCAAUGCUAUAAAAACAGCCUAUCAAUACCUUUGCACUGGUAAAGGAUUUAUCCCUCGAUGGAUUUACAUCACCUUGACAUUAUAAUUAAAUUGAAUGUAAGGUACAAACGAAGAAAAUUGUUAACCGAUAAAAUAAAAAUCAUAAAAGUUUAGUUGCUUGUAAUUACAUACAUGCUUUCUUGUUAUUAAAUUCAACUAUAUAAAGCAAAACUGAAGAGCAGGGCAUACAACAUCAAAAACCUAGAACUAGCAAAAGUUGCAAAAACAAAAAAAAAUAAAAAUAAAAAUAAAAGAACUUCCAUUUUUUACUUUGUGCAAAUGAAAAGUACUAAACUAGAACUCACAGGGUAAAAUACUAUAAAUAUAUCCAUUACAUGAAUGGAUACAGAAUCACCAUGCUUCUUUGAGCCAAACAGGUCAUGUGUGAUAUGACAAUGUUACUUCUUAAUAUGAUCUGUAGCACUUACUCCGACUAAUCAUCGAAUAGCUUUUAUAAUGAUAAGACAUGUUUAGAUACGUUAGAUAAGGCUUCAAAAAUACAAAGGCGGAACUGCUAGCCAAAGUUUAAUGUAGUACUUUACUUAAUGUAAGACGAUGAUUACUCGCGAAGCUUGUUUUCUGAAAUAAAAGAUAGUUGUGCACAAGGAUAGAAAGAAGUUGGUCUGUUACAGGAUUAGAGUGACAAGAGAUAUGUGUUGUAACUUAUAAGAAGUUGUCACCAUUAUCGGCCCAGUAAUAUUUGUUAAUAUUGGUCCAACAAUCAAUUCAUAGUUAAAGUUGCUCAAAAGUACUAUUAAAACAACUUCUGAUAAACAAACUCCAAAUACAUUUGUAGAAGUAAACAAACCACAAAGGGUGCUUUACCAUGGCGAUUAGCUCAAAUCCUGGAUGAUCAGUUCAUUGCGUUAGAAUGCCCUUUGAUUCAGUGGGUAAAUAUCUACAACAAUCACCUAAAGUUCAUGUAAUUGUACUCAUAUUUCCAACUGUCCAUGAUGUACAAGGAUGCAGUAGUUGCACACGUACAAUAGAACUCAUUUGAUGUCCUUUCUAAUUAAGGAACAAAAUAUUCUCAAAAUUUACAAAGUAAUUACUUAGAAUCUUCUUGCAGUGUAUAAAAUUAGCCAUCCAAAGAAUAUAAUCAUCAAACCCCAUAAAAGGGGAAAAAUAACAAGACAGACAAAAUAGAAAGAGUGCAUUGCGUUGUACCCGGCAUCCUAAGCACACAAUCCAUCUGUUACGAACCCGAUUCGCCCUCCGUGAACCAUCGUGACGGCACCUAGUCCCUACGAUUAGGUAAGCCUAAAUUGCGAAAAAUAAAUUAAUUUGCAGAAGUAAAACAAUUUAAAACAGAAUUAGAGUAAUAAGACAAUGUUUAAAAGUGUCGUUCGGCAUACACGAUAUUUAACUCUCAGAAACCAAUACAUAUCUCCAAGACCCGGAAACCCAUGAAUCACAAGCUAAGGAUCACUACAUAGUGCUCUAACUCCAGAAUAGUCUAAAACAAAAUAAAUACAGAAGGGCGGUAACUAUAAGAGAGAGUGGAGAAAGACUCCUCGAUCUGCGGAUGCGGCAGAUAUACCUCGAAGUCUCCGAACGGUCGCCUCGCCUCAAGGAUGGUAAGUCUGAGUCAAGGUACCUAGAUCUGCACAUAAAAAACAUGCGUAGAAAGGGCAUAAGUACACCACACGGUACUCAGUAAGUGUCAAGCCUAACCUCAG
rnacentral:lncRNA from 1 species